rnacentral:rRNA from 1 species
AUUGAACGCUGGCGGCAGGCUUAACACAUGCAAGUCGAACGAGUGGCGGACGGGUGAGUAAUGCUUGGGAAUCUAGCUUAUGGAGGGGGAUAACUACGGGAAACUGUAGCUAAUACCGCGUACCAUAGGAUGAGCCCAAGUGGGAUUGGAUAGUUGGGGAGGUAAAGGCUCACCAAGCCGACGAUCUCUAGCUGGUCUGAGAGGAUGACCAGGCACACUGGGACUGAAACACGGCCCAGACGCCUACGGGAGGCAGCAGUGGGGAAUAUUGCGCAAUAGGUGCAACCUGACGAAGCCAUGCCGCUUGAAUGAAGAAAGCCUUCAAGUUGUAAAGUUCUUUCGGUUGCGAGGCGUUAUCUACAGAAGAAGCACCGGCUAACUCCAUGCCAGCAGCCGCGGUAAUUC